AAACUAUUUAAAAAAAAAAUAUAAUAAUUAAAGCUAUGAAUAUACAAUAACGAGAUUGUUAUCUAAAAAGAAAAAAUGAACAAAAAGGCUCAAAUAUUUUCGCUCAAGUUAUUGCCAUUAAUUUGUUUUGAAGAAUCCAAUUCAGAUUGAAUCUUCUUUUGGAUACUUUCUUCAGCUUUAAUCGCCGCUGCUCGCUUUGGCCUAAUAACAUUACUAGCAUUGCUAUGAACUUCAUAACUCCCCAUUUGAGAGUUAGAAAAUACUGCUGAAGAUGAAUCAUUGUUAGAUGGCGGGUUUUCAUCUGUUUCGCUCUUUUCUUGAGAUUUAUAUCUUUUCAAGCUUGGUGAAUAAGAUGCUUCUCCUCCAGUAUCAACAACAUAAUGAUUAGAAUUGCUUGAAUUGUUCAGAUUAUCAGCAUUAUAGCUAAUAACAUUUGAAUUACCAAAAGCGAUUAGAUCAUUAUUGGGAUAGCCGUCAAAAACGCCAGAAUCUCUGUGAUCAGUUAUAUCAUUAUCUUCAUUCUCAAGAUCUUCAUUAUCUUCGGUUAAUAACUCAUCAUCCCACUCUUGUGGAUUUGGCAUUAAGUUUGGAGAAGUCCACUGUAAAGUUCUCACAUGAGCUGCGACAGACUUUGCCAGAGGUGAAAGGCUUAAAGCUUUUGUAUUAUAUCCUCCUUCUAAAACUGAUACAAUUCUACCAUUACAACAAAGAUUUGCAAUACUUAUCAGCUGUUGGGUAAGCCAUGCAUAAUCUCCCUCAGUGCAUGAAGUGAAUCCUUUUCCCACAAUAUCUAUAACAUGGCCAUCGAAUCCUGCUGAAAUGAAAAUAAUAUUAGGCCUAAAUUGAAGAAGCUUUGGUAACAAAAAUCUCUUAAUUUUGUUCCUGAAGAUUUUUGAAGUGGUCUUUUCUGAGAGUCCAAUAUUAAUAAUAUUAGGCUUAGAAAUACAUUGAUCUGGCCCUGUACCUGGAUAAAAUGUGCCAUCAUACGCAUGAACACUUGAAAAAAAUAUAUUUUCCGCAUCAAGUUCAUCCCUCCAAAUCUUAUAAUAAGAUAUAUCCUGCUCCAAAUCCAAGUUGAUACCAGGAACUGGAUUAAACAAUGUUUUGAUCUUCCUAUUUCCUGGAGAUGCAUUUCGGACAAUUUGUUCAGUACCAUUACCAUGAUGCACAUCAAAAUCUAUAAUAGCAAUCUUUGAAAUACCUAAAUUGGAGUAUGUAUACCUACAAUAAGCCGCACCUAUUGCAACGUUAUUUAAUAGGCAAAAUCCUUGUGAUCCUGAUGGAAUUCCUUCAUCAGUACCAACUGUUUGCGCAGCUCCCCAUGUUCCAAGAUGAUGUCCAGGAGGCCUUAUAGCACAAAAGGCAUUUCGAUUCUCGCCUCUGCAGACACAAUCAACGGCAUUAAUAACUGAGCCACUAGCAUGUAAAGCUGCUUUCCAAGAACCUGGAGUUAACUGGGUAUCAUCAUCUAUAGAUCCGGUAAGAAAUGGUCUUUGAUCCCAAAUUAAUCGGCUUUCUUCAACCUUAUGUUGUAAUAAACGAACAUAUGCCCAAUCAUGAACUCUAAGAAUAUCUGAUAAUAUUGCAGGCUUACACGACUCAGUCCAUUGAAGUAAUGAAAACUCAUUACUCUUUAAAAUUCCAACAUUUGGUUUGACUAAUACUUCCAUACGUGUUGGAUUCUCUGGAAUCUUAUUCACUAAUUUUGAACGUCUAAUUGGCAUAUCCAUUGGUUCUGGAAGAGAAAUAUGGUCUAUGCAACAACCAUGUGUGAAUAUUCUAGUUGAAGCUAGUCCCAUUGAAGGGCCAUCUGCAAUUAGACUUUCAUUUAUUCCUACCCUUCUUUGCUCGGAUUCAUCAUUAGUGGCAAUUUCAACAGCUAUAGAAAAUACUCUUUCAAAUUCAGAUCCUAAUCCCAGUUUUUGUGCAUGAAAAGAAAGCAAAUCAUAUUCACUCUCAGAAAUAGGAUGUUGCUGAUAUUCUGAAUCUGUCAGUAAUGUAUGAAGGCAUCUCCACGCUGAUUUAUCUAUACAACAUUUUAUUAAGUUCGCUGUGCAAGUUGUUUCUUUCAAUGGGUCAGCACCUCCACUUGAAAGCAUUACAGAAAGCGUAUCAGGAUCUCUGCUUGAUAUGGCAUGAUGAAUUGGUUCAUCAUUAUUCAAAUCUGAAAUAUUUGCUAAUGCACCAUAUUCUAGUAAUAAAGAUACAAUUUUUGAAUCACCAAAGCUACAUGCUAAAUGUAAUGCAGUAAUUCCAAGCUGAUCUGUAGCGUUAAUAUCCAGCCAUGAUACAUUUUGAGAAGUACCAUGAGUUAAUGUAAAAGGCAAAAGAAGAUAUAAACAAUUCAUACAAUCCUCAUAUCUCUCUGGAAAAAUUGCCUUACAAAGUACUAGAUGAGAAAUUGGUAUACCAGCAUAUGGAAUAGACAAAUCAAUUGGAAUAAUAUUAUUAUUUUGGUACGCAGUAUUUGAUAAAGAAUCACCAGCAAUAUAAGUAUUUUCAGUACUAUUAUUUGGUCUUAAAUCUUCUGACUGGCAGCUUAAGAGGAUCUCCAGCAUCUCCGGAUAAGCAUUCAAAAGUGCAAUGUGCAGAGCAGUACACCCUGAUGAGUCCCUAUCGUUGAUAAUACAUCUCAUUGGGCUGAAAAUGUACUCCUUCAGAGUUUUUGAGUCACGAGAAUGAAUCAGCUUCUGGAAGAAUCCAGGUUUGGGAUUGAAACUAUCCAAUAAUGGAUACUUAAUCAAUUGAUCUAAAUUUGACCUAGAGCCAAAAUCUUCACUUUGAUUUGUUGAUUUUUGGUCAGAAAUAACCUCCAUAUUUAACUCAUUAGUACUAUUUUGAUCUUUACUAUCAUUAAUUGUAUCAGCAUUAACUGUGAAAAUAUCAAUAUUUUGUGAGUUAUUCUGUGAGUGGUCCAGAUUUAAAUCAUUAUCUAUUGGUAAGCUUUGAAGAGAAACUUCAUCUUGUUUAAUAUUUAAUUGGUGAUCAUUUAGACUUUUGUCCGGG
rnacentral:antisense_RNA from 1 species